rnacentral:lncRNA from 1 species
CUUUCCCAAGCAGGAAAGAGACCAGGUAAAGUAGCAUGUAAUAUCCCUCCUAUUCCCAUGCAGAUGUCUGAGGCAUCUCUUUCCUCUGCUCAAGUCUGAUUUGUAUUUCUUCUGGGUUAAUACUCCCAGAGUGCUUUCCCACCGCUUUCUGCCUG